UCGGUUCGCAGUUACCGAAAUGGUCUAAUAUUUGGCUUCGGUGAAUAUAAACCGAAGUUUUUUGGCAAAAAUGUUUCAAACCGCAAGGGGCAAAAUUGGAUUUUUGGGGGGUAUAAAAGAAAUGAGGGGGGUCGGGAGAGAAAACAUCUUUUAAAUCAAUUAUAAAAAGAUGGAUAUGGUUUAUAAUUGGUUUUUUUGUAUUGGAUUGGUGUGGUUUUUUUUCUAAAAUGGAUUUGGUUAUUAAUUUUGGAUAUGAUUUGGUUAAUGGUGUGGUUAAGGAUACUUUGAAUUUUUUGCACACCCCUAACCUAGCUAGUAUCAUGUUCUACCUUUUUCACAUUAAUCGGUUCAAAUAUGAUUUUAAUCUCUCUAAUUACAAUAGCGUUUCUUAAUUUUAAUUUCUGUAAGUUUAUUUUGUUUGAAUUCAGUACUUCCUAAAUAUUAAAAUUGUUGUUUUAUAGGUUUCUGAUGUCAUAUAUGUCUCUAUAAUCACAACAUGUGGGGCAACAAUAUGUUAUUUUCACGUUGAAGCGGCUGGAAAAAUUUGUAGGUGAAAAGCGCUCGCUAAACAGUAAAGUCGAUACCGAAGUUUUAUUUUUAAAAAAGGGAACGUCAUAAACCCCUUCGAAAAUGAGAACAAGGUCAUCGAGACCAAAUUACGAGUUCGAGAGUCAGUUAUGCAAGUAGAUUGUAUUAGCACCUCUCGCAUUCGUCUUAUCCAACGUGGACCGUUAAUUAGUUUAGCGUUGAACUAGGUGUUAGUUUUAUGAUUAUUUAUUAUUAUCAAAAGUAUUUGCAACGAAUAAAAGAGAAAUAAAAAUAAUUUAAAGACCAAAAAAUGGAUUUUUUAUUAGUGUGGUUGACAAGAGUGUUCUCUCACUCCUGUGUAUCUUCCGGUGGGAUGGAGAAAUCAAAACUGCGUAGUUAUGGGUAAAUAUUUUUUUUGUUGGUUGAUUUUAUUUAUGAAAAUGGUUUGGUCGCACUUGGGCGAAAAAGCUUGAU
rnacentral:lncRNA from 1 species